rnacentral:lncRNA from 1 species
UGCUGCCACUCACAAUCCUUGAGUCUGUAACCCCCGCAAUUCUCCUUUUUUAAAUUUUUAAAAAUUUAUUCCUCAUUGAGUUGAUUGGUACAUUUUAGGGAUCCAGUACAGUUACUUUCUUCAUUGGGAUCUUGCACCUUUACAUGAUAGGUCUUGGUUCUCAUUUUUUCCCCUCACCCCUUCCCUUCAUGACCUUCUCCCCUCCCCCUUUACAAAUACUUCAUUUCCAUUUUUUCAUUUUCUCAUAUUUUUUUCUUUUCCCUUAUUAGCUUUCCCUUACCCCUCCCCACCGAUUCUCCCUUAAGGAAACUGUGUGCUAACUAAGUGGUAAGUCACUGAAAGUCAGAAAUACACAGAAGGAAGUCAGUCAUCUUUCUGUUCCUUCUUUUUUCUCUAUUAGAGUUGAAAUCACCUACAACAGAGGGUGUUUGACCUACCUCUGCCUACACUGGCCCUAGAAAAUUAGGAUCUCGGAGAACAAAGGGGAUGGCACAUAAAAAACACUUUGACAGGCCCCAGAGUACGAAUCUAAUUGUGGCACCUACCUCUCUUUCUGCCGUAAUUCUUUUUUUUUAGGUGCCGGCGAUCGAACUCAGGACCUUGCACUUGCAAGGCAGGCACAGUGCCACUGAGCUAAAUCCCCAGCCCUCCCUGCCAUGAUUCUGCCUUGCCUGGUCUGAGUGAGCUGGAAGGCGGCUGAGUAGGGGCCCUGUUCACCUCAGGCUAAGUCUAUUCCACCCAGCCCUUCGGAAAUCCUGUCUACUACUUUGCACAAAGCCUCAGGCUUUCUAUCCAAGGCUCUCCUGGAAUUAUGUGCAGGAGGUAGAAUAGAGCGAUUAAGAAAAGGAAUUUGUUGAGGGCAAUGACAAAAAAUCAAUUUCAUUCUUAUUUUUUUCAAGAAAAGCAUAAUUGGUUUCAGAACAGGCCUCUCCCUCCCCUCCCCCCCCUCUGCUUCUCCCUCUCUCCUUCCAUUGUUCUGUAGAACACGGAAUCCACUUCCGCUCUCUUCCCCCAGCAGUCACGGAACGGACAGAGCUUGCCUGGCGGCAGGAAGGAGGGUUGGGACAAGUUCUAGGAAGUCGGAUCUUCACAGAUUUUCCCUCUUGCCAGCAUCUGUCCUAACAGUGGAACCUGCACACCUGCUGUGUCUAUGGAGAACCUUCCUGAGUCCUGACCCGUGUGCGUAGCAGUCCGCAGAAAUCCUGAGCCAGGGGACUCGGGCCUGUCUGCUCCUGCCAGUGACCUGUGUGAGCAGGUGCGCCUGCUUCUUCUGGAAGGUUGGACUGUGACAGGGGAGGGCGUGGGGAUUUGGGGGCAGCGCCUCUCUGCACAGGGUCAUCUCGCUUCACUGGACUGACACAUCCAGGCAGCAGGAGGUGAACCUGGGAUGGACCCAGGGAUCCUUUACACAGGAGGUCAGGGGCUUGAACUUCACCAGAUGGAAAUCACCACGACAUUUGGAAAGGGAUGCGAGGUGAAAGGACUGUAAACUGUGCCACCCAGGGUAAAGGGAUUUUCACAUCUGAUUAUGGUCUGUUAAAAUAGUGGCCAUUGUUUUUCUGUUUUGUUUUUCUGUUCUGCUCAACAUAACAUUUCUAGCAAUUAAUAUAAAACAGAGAAAUCUCAGAGUAUCAGCUUCAAUUAUACAUU